CUACUGAGAAGAAAGCUACUUCCCUUUCCUGCUGCUGCAUUGGGAUUGGCACAGGCCCUGCAACGAAGCCGAGGGAUUCCCCAAAAGAGGGGAGGAUGCCAGCACGUGGGUUUGCUCUGAUAAAACAUCUGCGAUGGCUCCUUCCAGCCACCCCGGAAUAACCUGAUAAGGUCCCGGCACACGGAUCCUGCCCAGCAAGAUAAGGAACCAGCAAACACAAGACCUAGACAGAGACUGCGAGAAGUUGCUGCUCCCUCUUCUGCUCAGGAGGAGCUGCGGUGGUGGAACAACCGGCUCCACGCAACUCACACCGUGUUUGAUCUCCAGAACCACCCAAAUUCUCCUCAGAGCCUGUCAGCAGCACACGGGAGCUCCGGUGUGGAGCACAGGGAAUCAGCUCCCCUCUGUCUGCAAAAUACCCCCCCACCUUGGUUUACUUUCCACCACGGGGGUAAAUGAUGAGAGCAGCUCACAGCUCGCUCCUCUCACCCCUCCUGGCUUGAGGCUGGUGUGUGUGUGUGUGUGUGUGUGUGUGUGCUGACAGACUCCCAACACCGGGAUCAGCAAAUUCCUCUGCAGCUGGAACAGCACAAAUGUCAAAGUUUGCUGGUUUGGGGCUGCCUGAAUCGCUCCUCUCGCAGCAUGUGCCACAGUAGCUCCAUCUGCAAAGAGCGCAGGAAACCAACCGACCUUGGACCCCCAAAAGAAGUUAAUUAAGCAGCAAUUAACGAGACCUGAGUCAACAAAAGCCGCCGUUGGCUCCCUGCUACGGUUCAGUGUGCUCAGGGCCAGCUGUGCCCUGGCAGCGCAGCCAUCACAGGGUGUUAAACAACAAAUAACUCCUAGUUCCAGGUCACAACCUCCAGCUCCUGCGCUGUUUUUUCCAGCCCCUCGGUGUAUUUAGCAAGAGCUUUGUCCUCACACCUAAAACCCGAGCUCUGCCCUCGCCGAACCAGUAACGCCGAUGGAGAAAGGGGAAGGACAAACAGCGCAACCCAAACCCCAACCGGUGGCGGAGCCCGACCAGCCACAGCUGCAGUCCCCGGGGAGAGCUGCCCGGGUCUUCCAGGCACCUCACGGCCCCGUUACAGCCGGCCCGUAGUGAUGGCGACAGCACUGAGGGAAGAGGAGAAUGAGAUGUUCCCGCUGAGCAAGAGCGGGGUGGACCCGCCGGGGCUGUUUGUGCCCAUUCCUGUGCUUUUGGGGUUGGGUUUUUUUCACUCUUAAUAAUGAAUUCCCUCAGUGAAGGGGGUUUUCAAACUUCAA